ACGGCCACCUGAGGUCAAACAUGAGGCGUGAAUCCUUCAUGGACUCCAGACGUAGAAACUGGAAAACCUCAGGUUCCAGCUUCGUGUGUCAGGAAGUGAGCUCGGUGUUUGUAAAUGGCUUUGAAUUCAUGAACGUUCUUCACCUUUUAUUUCAUCCACAACCACAGCAUAUACAGAAACCCAUACCAGGCGGAGUUACGGGACGAUAAUAGUCACAGAAGACGACGCGACUGAAACCGUUACACCCUCAACUGAUCUAAAAGCUAAUGUUCUGGACGUUCACGCACAGCCAGCAAAAGAGGCGCAGACAAUGGCAGCCCUCCAGGAGACGGUGACGUCACAUCCAGAUGAAGUGACGACGUCCGAGUCUCUGCCCUGGGUUCGGAUCGGGCUAAUCGCUGGAGUCCUGCUGGUCACAGCGGUCGUUCUGUGUGUCCUGAAAGCUCGACAGAAAAUAUAAAAGAGGAAAUGAGGAUUAAUGGAUCGACCAUUCUGUGAAAUCAUGAUUGUAUUUGAGAGUCUGCUGCAGACGAGCUUACCUGUUUGAAUGAAGGUGUUUACGAUGGUCGGACUCGCCAGAGAUAAGAACGUGAACUGUUGAUGUGGACGAUAUAAAAGUUAAAAAACAGAACUUAUUUGGAAGCUUUGAGUUUGGUCCUUCACUCACUUUGUGAAUGUCCAGAAGAAAGCCGAUUUGAGGAUUUCAAAUUCUUUAAAAAAAAUAUUUACAGCCAACUCUUCAGAGUAGGGGAGGGAUGAAGUAUCAACACAGCUCCGCCCACUUCUCCAAAUAUGGUCACUUCCUUCUGAGUCAUCAGCUCUUUAAACAUAUUCUAUUUUUGGUAAAUCAAACAGGGUCUCCCUCAGAGUGUCUCUAAAUACAAACAAACGUUUACGUCGUUUUUCAGGUUGUCAUGGUAGAUACUGGUGAAGCUCAGGUGAACCCCGCCCUAACUCCUCCCCCUUUUUCUGGUCUAGUUAACUCUAAACAUGACCCGUAAGUGACUAAAUGAAUAUUAAGGUGUUGCAAAGAAGACUUGAAACUACAAAUUGAGACCAUAAAACUGAGACCUUGUGGAGUCGCCCCCUGCUGGAGAUGAGAAAGAAUGCAGGUACUUCUUACAGACGGUCUAUGAUAUCGUCCCUUUUGCUUGUUUUCAUUAAAUUGAAAGAAAGGAGUUGUCAGACUGAUACAUCGCUCCUUAAAGAGACUGUAGGACUCUGUAGGGUUCAGGACUGAAUCAGGAAUGAGGAACAGGUGCGUCUUGCUUAGAUUGAAAUCCAAUAUAGAAACGAGUGUGCCAAAGCUGCGCUGUACGAGGCCGUCAUACAAUCCAUACAAACCUGAGCAGCAUUUCUCAUUGACCUCUAUGUGAGUGCAAACUCUGCACACGUUGAGGAGAAGCUUCAUGAACUGUGCUGUGGGUUCGUCUGCAGAAACCGCUCCCUCCUGAAGGACAGACGUCAUGGAUGUAAACGUUCAUGAAUUCAGUGUCAUCGUGACAUUAACGCUCUGCAGUUAACACCUUCACACGCCUUGACCUCGCUCCUCUGAUCUCUCACAGGUCUGAAUGUCUGUCACGUUUAACGCCUCUCUUAAACUCCGCCCACUGUUUGCAUCCAGCGAUGACUCUCUCUAUAACAAACGUUGGUUUUUACAGUCGUUCCCACCGCUCUCUCUAAUGUGGUGAAUUUAGACUGCAGUACCCCUUUUAAACACUAGGUGUCAGACCUACAUAUUGCUCCUUUUAAACUAAACAUGAAGAUAUUCUUUGGUUCAUAAACGACCUGUAAGAAAGUGUUUCUUGUUAUGUGUUGAAUUUAAAUAAAGUUUUGUAUCACCUG